rnacentral:tRNA from 1 species
GGUUAGCUCAGUUGGUUAGAGCGUGGAGCUAAUAAUGCCAAGGUCGUGGGUUCGAUCCCCAUACAGGCCA